rnacentral:rRNA from 1 species
UACGUAUGGAGCAAGCGUUAUCCGGAUUUACUGGGUGUAAAGGGAGCGCAGGCGGCUUUGCAAGUCUGAUGUGAAAGGCCGGGGCUCAACCCCGGGGCUGCAUUGGAAACUGUAAAGCUAGAGUGCCGGAGAGGUAAGCGGAAUUCCUAGUGUAGCGGUGAAAUGCGUAGAUAUUAGGAGGAACACCAGUGGCGAAGGCGGCUUACUGGACGGCAACUGACGCUGAGGCUCGAAAGCGUGGGGAGCAAACAGG